AGCAGUCGCCACGGUAAUACAGAGGGUGCGAGCGUUAAUCGGAUUUACUGGGCGUAAAGCGUGCGUAGGCGGCUUUUUAAGUCGGAUGUGAAAUCCCUGAGCUUAACUUAGGAAUUGCAUUCGAUACUGGGAAGCUAGAGUAUGGGAGAGGAUGGUAGAAUUCCAGGUGUAGCGGUGAAAUGCGUAGAGAUCUGGAGGAAUACCGAUGGCGAAGGCAGCCAUCUGGCCUAAUACUGACGCUGAGGUACGAAAGCAUGGGGAGCAAACAGGAUUAGAUACCCGAGUAGUCCCUGUCUCUUAUAA
rnacentral:rRNA from 1 species